CUACGGGCCGCACCAGUGAGGAAUAUUGUACAAUGGGGGGAACCCUGAUGCAGCAACGCCGCGUGGAGGAUGACGCAUUUCGGUGUGUAAACUCCUUUUAUAUGUCAAGAAAAUGACGGUUGCAUAUGAAUAAGCACCGGCUAACUCCGUGCCAGCAGCCGCGGUAAUACGGAGGGUGCAAGCGUUACUCGGAAUCACUGGGCGUAAAGGACGCGUAGGCGGGUUGGAAAGUCAGGUGUGAAAUCCUACAGCUUAACUGUAGAACUGCACUUGAAACUUCUAAUCUAGAGUAUGGGAGGGGGAGAUGGAAUUAGUGGUGUAGGGGUAAAAUCCGUAGAUAUCACUAGGAAUACCUAAAGCGAAGGCGAUCUCCUGGAACAUUACUGACGCUAAGGCGUGAAAGCGUGGGGAGCAAACAGGAUUAGAUACCCGCGUAGUC
rnacentral:rRNA from 1 species